UUUUCUACUGUCAGUAAUUAUGCAGCAUAGCCUAUUUUAAGCCAAAAGAAACCUGUUGGAGAUUGCCACAUACUAAUAACAUUACAGUUCCAUCUAUUGGAAAGCACAGUCAGAAAUAGAGACUAUUCAUACCACUUAGCAAGAGAAAGACAUAAAACUUUGAAUAGAUCAUGUUAAAUUUUGUUCAAUUAAUCCACAAACUUUGUUUUCCAGGCUUCAAGAGCAGAUGCCAGGGACUGUCAGUGCAGUAGGAAAACAACAACAUUUUAGAAGAGCUUUCUUACUUGGAGCAAUGAAUCCAUAAUCAACCAUACGUGAAUAAACAUGAGCAGGAAAUUGGCUACCUCAGACGCAUCUAAAUUUAUGUGAAAACAAUGUUCUUUGCAUGAUGAGAAUCUAUAGGCAUUCGGAGAAUGGAUGCCAUACCUCAACAGCAAGACAUAUGACAUGUCAGAGGUGGCUGCUAGUCUUCUAUAAGAUGUCAGAGCAACAAGCUUUUUCUCCAAGUACAAAAUAUCUGUCAUGGGAGUCUAUAUGACACCAGAUACAAGACCUGCAGUUUCGCUUGCCAGAUCACCUCUGAGUUCCCCUAGACAGAAGUGAGAGUCCAGAUUCCCUCAGGAUUAGCUCAACCACACAUCCUACAGCAUAAGUCAUCAUCAAAACCCCAGGGUAGCAGAAGUGAGCUUGUCAGUUCGUGGCUGUUGGAAACACUCCUUCCCUCUCCCAGUCUCACAGGACAUAUAUUUUUUGCCAAAUGAUGCAAGGCAGUAGAUGCCUCAUGAGGAAAAAGAAUCUAAUAAUUCCAAAUUACAAGAAUCAAAGCAAUCUAAAUUCUCCAUCUGUUGCCUAGUGUGGUUG
ensembl:lncRNA